rnacentral:rRNA from 1 species
CCUACGGGAGGCAGCAGUAGGGAAUCUUCCACAAUGGGCGAAAGCCUGAUGGAGCAACGCCGCGUGGGUGAAGAAGGUCUUCGGAUCGUAAAACCCUGUUGUUAGAGAAGAAAGUGCGUGAGAGUAACUGUUCACGUUUCGACGGUAUCUAACCAGAAAGCCACGGCUAACUACGUGCCAGCAGCCGCGGUAAUACGUAGGUGGCAAGCGUUAUCCGGAUUUAUUGGGCGUAAAGGGAACGCAGGCGGUCUUUUAAGUCUGAUGUGAAAGCUUUGGGCUUAACCGGAGUAGUGCAUUGGAAACUGGGAGACUGGAGUGCAGAAGAGGAGAGUGGAACUCCAUGUGUAGCGGUGAAAUGCGUAGAUAUAUGGAAGAACACCAGUGGCGAAAGCGGCUCUCUGGUCUGUAACUGACGCUGAGGUUCGAAAGCGUGGGUAGCAAACAGGAUUAGAUACCCCAGUAGUC